AAUUUAUCAACAUUUGAAGCAUCUGUGUGUAUUCUGCCAUGCCAAGAGUGUAAAUACUGAUAGAAUAAAAAAGGAGCAAUCAAGCAGCAAUAGAGACAUUGAAGUGAUGAUAUAGCACCAAAAUUCUACAAUUCUGAACUAAUGUCUUCAUCAUAUCAUAUCCUAAAAACUAAAGAUUGCAAGAAAUGUGAAGAGAAGAACAUGCACAGCUUAUAUUGUGCUAUGAGAUUGUUGGAAACACAUUUAGCAUAUUUUAAACAAACUCUACUAGACUUCUUGAGAGUUGUGAAAGUUUAUCUAUUGCAAUCUCACUUAAAAUUCAGGCAUCUAAUUUCUGA
rnacentral:misc_RNA from 1 species